rnacentral:rRNA from 1 species
AUCCCUUGUAGACUACGAGGUUGAUAGGCACGAUGUGUAAGUGGAGUGAUCCAUUCAGCAAGUGUGUACUAAUAGAUCGAGGGCUUGACCAC